AUGGAUAAAGUGUGUGACUGGACGGGCUUUCUGGGCAGGUCACGUGACGAGGCGAGGAGCGGUUUGGUCAGGUGGGUGUGAUGUCACCCCGGGUUUCCGUGUCACCUGAAGCUUUGGAGUAAUGAUGGCGGCCAGCGUCGGGCUUUACACAGCACGGCUCGCGGCCAGGGCAGGAGGACUCCUGAGGGCGCCGGGGAAACCUUCCACAGUGAUUGCUGUGGCUCGCCGGACCGCUGUCACCACAAGCACCGGGGCCAUUCAUCCCAAACCGGAGAAAGUAAGUUUUGGCUUGCUCAGAGUCUUCGCUGUGGUGGUACCAUUUUUAUAUGUAGGAACACUAAUCAGCAAAAAUUUUGCUGCCCUAUUGGAGGAGCAUGACAUUUUUGUUCCAGAGGAUGACGACGAUGAUGAUUGAAAGAUACAUUCCUGCCGGAAGCCAUAUUCCUCAUUGGUGCCCUAUCAAUACUACUUCCUUGGGAUGCUGUUCCUCUGAUUCACUGCAUGUUAUAUAGGGGGAUCAUUGCCUGUGUGGUGAUUCAAUAAUGUGGGAUUGAAAAAAAUAUGUAUAUAAAAUUUAAUUAAAAUGUAAUAACUG